rnacentral:rRNA from 1 species
GAUGAACGCUGGCGGCGUGCCUAACACAUGCAAGUCGAGCGAUUCUCUUCGGAGAAGAGCGGCGGACGGGUGAGUAACGCGUGGGUAACCUGCCCUGUACACACGGAUAACAUACCGAAAGGUAUGCUAAUACGGGAUAACAUAAGAAAUUCGCAUGUUUUUCUUAUCAAAGCUCCGGCGGUACAGGAUGGACCCGCGUCUGAUUAGCUAGUUGGUGAGGUAACGGCUCACCAAGGCGACGAUCAGUAGCCGACCUGAGAGGGUGAUCGGCCACAUUGGAACUGAGACACGGUCCAAACUCCUACGGGAGGCAGCAGUGGGGAAUAUUGCACAAUGGGCGAAAGCCUGAUGCAGCAACGCCGCGUGAGCGAUGAAGGCCUUCGGGUCGUAAAGCUCUGUCCUCAAGGAAGAUAAUGACGGUAC